rnacentral:rRNA from 1 species
UACGGGAGGCAGCAGUGGGGAAUAUUGCACAAUGGGCGCAAGCCUGAUGCAGCCAUGCCGCGUGUAUGAAAAAGGCCUUCGGGUUGUAAAGUACUUUCAGUCGUGAGGAAGGUGUUAAGGUUAAUAACCUUAGCAAUUGACGUUAGCGACAGAAGAAGCACCGGCUAACUCCGUGCCAGCAGCCGCGGUAAUACGGAGGGUGCGAGCGUUAAUCGGAAUUACUGGGCGUAAAGGGCACGCAGGCGGUUAAUUAAGUUGGAUGUGAAAUCCCCGGGCUUAACCUGGGAAUGGCAUUCAAGCUGGUUAGCUAGAGUCUUGUAGAGGGGGUAGAAUUCCAUGUGUAGCGGUGAAAUGCGUAGAGAUGUGGAGGAAUACCGGUGGCGAAGGCGGCCCCUGGACAAAGACUGACGCUCAUGUGCGAAAGCGUGGGGAGCGAAACAGGGAUUUAGAU